GUGGAGGAGCUGAGGUGGAGGAGUCGAGUUGGAGGAGCUGAGUUGGAGGAGUCGAGGUGGAGGAGCUGAGGUGGAGGAGCUGAGGUGGAGGAGCCGAGGUGGAGCAUCACAGGUGUACCUUCAGGAGUUCGUCACCGAGCAAACAGCCCGCCGCCCCGCGCUGGAACCAACAACCACAAGACUUAUGGAAAACACAAGGACACAUAUAAGUCACGGGGAGACCUGUGUGUGUGUGUGCGUGUGUGUGUGUGUGUGUGUGUGUUUGUGUGUGUGUGUGUGUGAGAGAGACUGUGUGUGUCCUUGUGUUUAGCUCUGUGUGCUUUAAGAAUAGCUUGGAUUCAAUUUGGCAUUUAAAAGAGGUUACUUCAGCAAAAUUGAUCAACGUGCUAUUGCUCCUCUAAAAAUCAACAACAUGGCCAUGUUAUAUUUUUUACACCGUUCUAUUUUUUUGAAAUGUAAUUUCUUUGUGGAUUUAUGAUUCUAGGUUUAUUUCCUUUCUGUAAAGCUGAUAAGAUGUGUUGUGAUUUUUUUUACUGCGUUGAUUUGUAGAAUUAACAUCUUGGCCUCCUCAGCAUCACACAGUCCGUCUCUCUGAAUCCAGUUGAGCAAUUUGUAUGUCUAAUGUUUACAUGAUUGUCCAUAAUAAAUCUGUUUUCUAUUUUGCACUUUC